rnacentral:rRNA from 1 species
AGUGAACGCUGGCGGUAGGCCUAACACAUGCAAGUCGAACGGCCGCACCGUAAGAGCUUGCUCUUACGGGUGGCGAGUGGCGGACGGGUGAGGAAUACAUCCGAAUCUACUUUUUCGUAGGGGAUAACGUAGGGAAACUUACGCUACUACCGCAUACGACCUACGGGUGAAAGCAGGGGAGCUUCGGACCUUGCGCGAUUGAAUGAGCCGAUGUCGAAUUAGCUAGUUGUCGGGGUAAUGGCCCACCAAGGCGACGAUCCGUAGCUGGUCUGAGAGGAUGAUCAGCCACAUUGGAACUGAGACACAGUCCAGACUCCUACGGGGAGCAGCAGUGGGGAAUAUUGGACAAUGGGCGCGAGCCUGAUCCAGCCAUACCGCGUGAGUGAAGAAGGCCUUCGGGUUGUAAAGCCCUUUUGUUGGGAAAGAAAAGCAGCAGGUUAAUACGCCGCUGUUCUGACGGUACCCAAAGAAUAAGCACCGGCUAACUUCGUG